rnacentral:rRNA from 1 species
CCCCACCUACGGGAGGCAGCAGUAGGGAAUCUUCGGCAAUGGGCGAAAGCCUGACCGAGCAACGCCGCGUGAAUGAAGAAGGCCUUCGGGUUGUAAAAUUCUGUUAUAAGGGAAGAAAGGUGAUAGGAGGAAAUGACUAUCAAUUGACGGUACCUUAUGAGAAAGCCACGGCUAACUACGUGCAAGCAGCCGCGGUAAUGCGUAGGUGGCAAGCGUUAUCCGGAAUUAUUGGGCGUAAAGAGCGCGCAGGUGGCUAAUUAAGUCUGAUGUGAAGGCCCACGGCUUAACCGUGGAGGGUCAUUGGA